rnacentral:rRNA from 1 species
UUCGGGGACGCAGUGACAGGUGCUGCAUGGCUGUCGUCAGCUCGUGUCGUGAGAUGUUCGGUUAAGUCCGGCAACGAGCGCAACCCACAUCCCUAGUUGCCAGCAGUUUGGCUGGGCACUCUAUGGAAACUGCCCGUGAUAAGCGGGAGGAAGGUGUGGAUGACGUCAAGUCCUCAUGGCCCUUACGGGUUGGGCUACACACGUGCUACAAUGGUGGUGACAGUGGGUUAAUCCCCAAAAGCCAUCUCAGUUCGGAUUGGGGUCUGCAACUCGACCCCAUGAAGUCGGAAUCGCUAGUAAUCGCGUAACAGCAUGACGCGGUGAAUACGUUCCCGGGCCUUGUACACACCGCCCGUCACACCAUGGGAGUUGGUUCUACCCGACGGCCGUGCGCUAACCUUUUGGAGGCAGCGGACCACGGUAGGAUCAGCGACUGGGGUGAAGUCGUAACAAGGUAGCCUAC